rnacentral:rRNA from 1 species
GAUUCGUCAGGUGACUGCGUACCUUUUGUAUAAUGGGUCAGCGACUUAUAUUCUGUAGCAAGGUUAACCGAAUAGGGGAGCCGAAGGGAAACCGAGUCUUAACUGGGCGUUAAGUUGCAGGGUAUAGACCCGAAACCCGGUGAUCUAGCCAUGGGCAGGUUGAAGGUUGGGUAACACUAACUGGAGGACCGAACCGACUAAUGUUGAAAAAUUAGCGGAUGACUUGUGGCUGGGGGUGAAAGGCCAAUCAAACCGGGAGAUAGCUGGUUCUCCCCGAAAGCUAUUUAGGUAGCGCCUCGUGAAUUCAUCUUCGGGGGUAGAGCACUGUUUCGGCUAGGGGGUCAUCCCGACUUACCAACCCGAUGCAAACUGCGAAUACCGAAGAAUGUUAUCACGGGAGACACACGGCGGGUGCUAACGUCCGUCGUGAAGAGGGAAACAACCCAGACCGCCAGCUAAGGUCCCAAAGUCAUGGUUAAGUGGGAAACGAUGUGGGAAGGCACAGACAGCCAGGAUGUUGGCUUAGAAGCAGCCAUCAUUUAAAGAAAGCGUAAUAGCUCACUGGUCGAGUCGGCCUGCGCGGAAGAUGUAACGGGGCUAAACCAUGCACCGAAGCUGCGGCAGCGACACUAUGUGUUGUUGGGUAGGGGAGCGUUCUGUAAGCCGUUGAAGGUGUGCUGUGAGGCAUGCUGGAGGUAUCAGAAGUGCGAAUGCUGACAUAAGUAACGAUAAUGCGGGUGAAAAACCCGCACGCCGGAAGACCAAGGGUUCCUGUCCAACGUUAAUCGGGGCAGGGUGAGUCGACCCCUAAGGCGAGGCCGAAAGGCGUAGUCGAUGGGAAACAGGUUAAUAUUCCUGUACUUGGUGUUACUGCGAAGGGGGGACGGAGAAGGCUAUGUUAGCCGGGCGACGGUUGUCCCGGUUUAAGCAUGUAGGCGGAGCGUUUAGGUAAAUCCGGACGCUUAUUAACGCUGAGGUGUGAUGACGAGGCACUACGGUGCUGAAGUAACAAAUGCCCUGCUUCCAGGAAAAGCCUCUAAGCAUCAGGUAACACGAAAUCGUACCCCAAACCGACACAGGUGGUCAGGUAGAGAAUACCAAGGCGCUUGAGAGAACUCGGGUGAAGGAACUAGGCAAAAUGGUGCCGUAACUUCGGGAGAAGGCACGCUGAUAUGUAGGUGAAGUGNAGAGAAUACCAAGGCGCUUGAGAGAACUCGGGUGAAGGAACUAGGCAAAAUGGUGCCGUAACUUCGGGAGAAGGCACGCUGAUGGUAGGUGAAGCGACUUGCUCGUGGAGCUGAAAUCAGUCGAAGAUACCAGCUGGCUGCAACUGUUUAUUAAAAACACAGCACUGUGCAAACGCGAAAGUGGACGUAUACGGUGUGACGCCUGCCCGCUGCCGGAAGGUUAAUUGAUGGGGUUAUCCGUAAGGAGAAGCUCUUGAUCGAAGCCCCGGUAAACGGCGGCCGUAACUAUAACGGUCCUAAGGUAGCGAAAUUCCUUGUCGGGUAAGUUCCGACCUGCACGAAUGGCGUAAUGAUGGCCAGGCUGUCUCCACCCGAGACUCAGUGAAAUUGAACUCGCUGUGAAGAUGCAGUGUACCCGCGGCAAGACGGAAAGACCCCGUGAACCUUUACUAUAGCUUGACACUGAACACUGGUCCUUGAUGUGUAGGAUAGGUGGGAGGCUUUGAAGUGUGGACGCCAGUCUGCAUGGAGCCAUCCUUGAAAUACCACCCUUUAAUGGCUGGUGUUCUAACGUAGACCCGUAAUCCGGGUUGCGGACAGUGUCUGGUGGGUAGUUUGACUGGGGCGGUCUCCUCCUAAAGAGUAACGGAGGAGCACGAAGGUUAGCUAAUCCUGGUCGGACAUCAGGAGGUUAGUGCAAAGGCAUAAGCUAGCUUGACUGCGAGAGUGACGGCUCGAGCAGGUGCGAAAGCAGGUCUUAGUGAUCCGGUGGUUCUGAAUGGAAGGGCCAUCGCUCAACGGAUAAAAGGUACUCCGGGGAUAACAGGCUGAUACCGCCCAAGAGUUCAUAUCGACGGCGGUGUUUGGCACCUCGAUGUCGGCUCAUCACAUCCUGGGGCUGAAGUAGGUCCCAAGGGUAUGGCUGUUCGCCAUUUAAAGUGGUACGCGAGCUGGGUUUAGAACGUCGUGAGACAGUUCGGUCCCUAUCUGCCGUGGGCGCUGGAG